CAUUGUUCUGACGGAGUCAGAUGCAGAUGCAGACUACGGCCACAGAAAAGUGUUUGUCCUCUCUGACUCAAGGCUCUAAAGUUGUUCAAUGAAAGACGGCCUCUGAAAAUACUUGGGUGUAAGCUGAUCUAUGUGGCCAAUUUGCGUGUACAGCAGACGGCCUGCAGAAUUCUGGGUAAGCUGCUGUGGUUGGCAUAUGCAGGACGCCCUACCAACACUGAGAUGCAACAAUCCAGACGUGAGAUGCCUGGAACCUCACAACCUCAGAUACACCCCAUGCCGAGGUGAGGUCUAAAGACAAUGUCUGGCUCGGUGUCCCUUGGAGCGGAAUGAGUGGUGAUGAAGGAAGUCUGUUUCUGUAGGUCCUUCCAGCUUCAUAAACAGAAUCAAAACAAGACAAUUCUACUAUCAUCAGCCACAGCACUUGUUUGAGAGAGAGCACCACGUUAGUUACCAGCUCUCUGUCUAUCAAGCCACUUAGUUGGACAGCCUGUUCUUGGGAGAUUCUGAGAUAUUCCAGAAGAUUCCCAGAGAUCUGAUCA